rnacentral:rRNA from 1 species
GACGAACGCUGGCGGCACGCCUAACACAUGCAAGUCGAACGGACUUAAAAGAGCUUGCUUUUUUAAGUUAGUGGCGGACGGGUGAGUAACACGUGAGCAACCUGCCUCUGAGAGGGGGAUAGCUUCUGGAAACGGAUGGUAAUACCCCAUAAAAUAUAAAUAUCGCAUGAUAGAUAUAUAAAAGAAAUUCGCUCAGAGAUGGGCUCGCGUCUGAUUAGAUAGUUGGUGAGGUAACGGCUCACCAAGUCGACGAUCAGUAGCCGGACUGAGAGGUUGAACGGCCACAUUGGGACUGAGACACGGCCCAGACUCCUACGGGAGGCAGCAGUGGGGAAUAUUGCACAAUGGAGGGAACUCUGAUGCAGCUAUGCCGCGUGGAGGAAGAAGGUUUUCGGAUUGUAAACUCCUUUUAUCAGGGACGAUAAUGACGGUACCUGAAGAAAAAGCUCCGGCUAACUACGUG